AGUAAUGACAAAAUUAGACAAAAAAACACCAGAUCCAUAUCUCCGCCUGGUGUCUCACUGAAGGUAAGCAGUGUUGAGUCUGGUCAGUACCUGGAUGGGAGACCUCCUGGGGGAAACUAAGGUUGCUGCUG
rnacentral:rRNA from 1 species